AGCAGCCGUGGUAAUUCCAGCUCCAAUAGCGUAUAUUAAAGUUGCUGCAGUUAAAAAGCUCGUAGUUGAAUUUCGGGACCAUCAUGUCGGUCGUGCCUCGGUACGUACUGGCAUUGUUAGUUUCUACCUUCUGACGAACCAUGAUGUCAUUUAUUUGGUGUUAUGGGAAAUCAGGACUGUUACUUUGAAAAAAUUAGAGUGUUUAAAGCAGGCAUUAGCUUGAAUACAUUAGCAUGGAAUAAUGAAAUAGGACGUUCGAACCUAUUUUGUUGGUUUUUAGGAUCAACGUAAUGAUUAAUAGGGAUAGUUGGGGGCAUUAGUAUUCAAUUGUCAGAGGUGAAAUUCUUGGAUUUAUUGAAGACUAACUACUGCGAAAGCAUUUGCCAAGGAUGUUUUCAUUAAUCAAGAACGAAAGUUAGGGGAUCGAAGACGAUCAGAUACCGUCGUAGU
rnacentral:rRNA from 1 species